AAACCAUUUGUCUAAAAUCAAAGUGUAAUAUCUGUUUUUAUCAGCUUAAUUUUUGAUACAGUCUCUAUUUGGGGUUAUCUAUAUUUAAAUGAUUUUUCGAACAGGGCGGAGAGUUAGGAUCUUGCUCCGCCUUUGCCACGGGCUGGUCUCGUAUUGCAGUACUUCCAGGAAUUAUCCCACAUACA
rfam:Octopus bimaculoides Scaffold4799_contig_26, whole genome shotgun sequence.